rnacentral:rRNA from 1 species
UACGGAGGGUCCAAGCGUUGUUCGGAUUCAUUGGGCGUAAAGGGUGCGUAGGCGGCGGGGAAAGUCUGAUGUGAAAUCCUGGGGCUCAACCCUGGAACUGCAUUGGAUACUUCCUUGCUAGAGUACUGGAGAGGAAACUGGAAUUUACGGUGUAGCAGUGAAAUGCGUAGAGAUCGUAAGGAAGACCAGUGGCGAAGGCGAGUUUCUGGACAGUUACUGACGCUGAGGCACGAAGGCCAGGGGAGCAAACGGG